rnacentral:tRNA from 1 species
AUUUAAAUAAUUUAACCAAAAAUUUAAUAUUGAAAAUAUUAAUAUAGAAUAAAAUUUCUUUUAAAUA